rnacentral:rRNA from 1 species
GAUGAACGCUGGCGGCGUGCUUAAAACAUGCAAGUCGAACGGUGAAGGCGGAGCUUGCUCUGCUGGAUCAGUGGCGAACGGGUGAGUAACACGUGAGCAAUCUGCCCCUGACUCUGGGAUAAGCGCUGGAAACGGCGUCUAAUACUGGAUACGAGCUGCGAAGGCAUCUUCAGCAGCUGGAAAGAACUUCGGUCAGGGAUGAGCUCGCGGCCUAUCAGCUUGUUGGUGAGGUAACGGCUCACCAAGGCGUCGACGGGUAGCCGGCCUGAGAGGGUGACCGGCCACACUGGGACUGAGACACGGCCCAGACUCCUACGGGAGGCAGCAGUGGGGAAUAUUGCACAAUGGGCGAAAGCCUGAUGCAGCAACGCCGCGUGAGGGACGACGGCCUUCGGGUUGUAAACCUCUUUUAGCAGGGAAGAAGCGAAAGUGACGGUACCUGCAGAAAAAGCGCCGGCUAACUACGUG